CAAACCGACACAGGUGGUCAGGUAGAGAAUACCAAGGCGCUUGAGAGAACUCGGGUGAAGGAACUAGGCAAAAUGGUGCCGUAACUUCGGGAGAAGGCACGCUGACACGUAGGUGAAGUGAUUUACUCAUGGAGCUGAAGUCAGUCGAAGAUACCAGCUGGCUGCAACUGUUUAUUAAAAACACAGCACUGUGCAAACACGAAAGUGGACGUAUACGGUGUGACGCCUGCCCGGUGCCGGAAGGUUAAUUGAUGGGGUCAGCGCAAGCGAAGCUCCUGAUCGAAGCCCCGGUAAACGGCGGCCGUAACUAUAACGGUCCUAAGGUAGCGAAAUUCCUUGUCGGGUAAGUUCCGACCUGCACGAAUGGCGUAAUGAUGGCCAGGCUGUCUCCACCCGAGACUCAGUGAAAUUGAACUCGCUGUGAAGAUGCAGUGUACCCGCGGCAAGACGGAAAGACCCCGUGAACCUUUACUAUAGCUUGACACUGAACAUUGAGCCUUGAUGUGUAGGAUAGGUGGGAGGCUUUGAAGUGUGGACGCCAGUCUGCAUGGAGCCGACCUUGAAAUACCACCCUUUAAUGUUUGAUGUUCUAACGUGGACCCGUGAUCCGGGUUGCGGACAGUGUCUGGUGGGUAGUUUGACUGGGGCGGUCUCCUCCUAAAGAGUAACGGAGGAGCACGAAGGUUGGCUAAUCCUGGUCGGACAUCAGGAGGUUAGUGCAAUGGCAUAAGCCAGCUUGACUGCGAGCGUGACGGCGCGAGCAGGUGCGAAAGCAGGUCAUAGUGAUCCGGUGGUUCUGAAUGGAAGGGCCAUCGCUCAACGGAUAAAAGGUACUCCGGGGAUAACAGGCUGAUACCGCCCAAGAGUUCAUAUCGACGGCGGUGUUUGGCACCUCGAUGUCGGCUCAUCACAUCCUGGGGCUGAAGUAGGUCCCAAGGGUAUGGCUGUUCGCCAUUUAAAGUGGUACGCGAGCUGGGUUUAGAACGUCGUGAGACAGUUCGGUCCCUAUCUGCCGUGGGCGCUGGAGAACUGAGGGGGGCUGCUCCUAGUACGAGAGGACCGGAGUGGACGCAUCACUGGUGUUCGGGUUGUCAUGCCAAUGGCACUGCCCGGUAGCUAAAUGCGGAAGAGAUAAGUGCUGAAAGCAUCUAAGCACGAAACUUGCCCCGAGAUGAGUUCUCCCUGAGACUUUAGGUCUCCUGAAGGAACGUUGAAGACGACGACGUUGAUAGGCCGGGUGUGUAAGCGCAGCGAUGCGUUGAGCUAACCGGUACUAAUGAACCGUGAGGCUUAACCUUACA
rnacentral:rRNA from 1 species